GUGACCUCAAAUCAGGUAGGACUACCCGCUGAACUUAAGCAUAUCAAUAAGCGGAGGAAAAGAAACUAACAAGGAUUCCCCUAGUAACUGCGAGUGAAGCGGGAAAAGCUCAAUUAAA
rnacentral:rRNA from 1 species